rnacentral:lncRNA from 1 species
CGCGGAUCCUUAAAGCAUUUUAAAACCCUUUUUCCAUCCUUUUUUCCCAACUGCUGCCAACAUUUCAAACAAAGAACCACAGCCCCAAAAUUGAAUCUGCUAGGGUUCUCAACAUCUGCCAGAUUCAUCAUUUUGUGUACCACCAUGAGUAGAUCCAUGCCUCAUCCAUGAAAAUGUGGUAAGAUACUUUCCUUUUUCUUUUUCUUUCGCAAAACAUUUGACUCCAUUAUUUUUUCUUUUUUCUUUUUUUGAAAAAAAAACUUUAAAUCUAACAUGGUUUAUUCGAAAAAAAGGCUAAAAACAUUUGAUUCCAUUUGACCCUCGUCCAGAUCUCAAUAUUACUGAGAUAUUUUGGAUUUCAUGGGCAUCGAUUCACAUGCUGAAAAAAAACUAGCCAACCAAGGAAAUUAAUCAGAGAAAAAAAAAACUUGAGAUCACCUUUAAAAAUUCUCUUUCGAAAUUUUCUUUGUAUUCUGUAUGUGUAAAGUGUGCGUGUAUGCGUACAGUGUGAGUAAUCUCUUUUUCUACAUAGUACAUUCAGUCCCUUUUUAUAGUUGAAAAAUGAAAAUAAAAUAAAUAAGAAAAAUUGAAUUGCUUUGCUGUAAUCUACUGUGUAUUCUGUUACUUGUGCCUUCUCGUGUGUUCCAUUUGCAGGUGUGGAGAAAUGGCAAUGCAGAAGAAUCCGCUCGUGGAAGCCGUGCAUGGGAAUCACUCGUGGGAUCGAUCUGUUGCUGCUCUAGCGUCUUCCAGAAACUCCUAGGGUUUCUGGUGCUUUCACAUUAUUGGGCUCCUUUGGGCCGUUUAGGAAUUGGGUCAGGGAUUAAAUUAGGGGUUUUGGGUGUAAUGGGAUUUUGGGUUGGUGUUUUGGGCCUUUAUUAUUUUUUUGGGUUAAUUGUAAAUGGACUUUUUAUGGACAUUUAUUGGAUUUUUGUUAUUUUAUUUUGUUAUUUUUUUGGUUUGGUAUGGGCCUGGGCGAAAUGGGCCUAUUACAUGCGUAGUAAACUAGAAGUUAACUAGUCCAAUUAUAUUAAUUAGUCGGUGUAACAUCCUUAAAACUCCCUCAGUCGAGAGUAGUGUUAGUACAAGUUGACAUAUGUUAAGAUUUUCAAAGGAAAUUAAAUAAGAACUAUUACUAUUAGUAAAGAAGGUAGCUAGAUAUUGAGAGAAAAUUAAAAAGAAUUGGGUAUUAAGAGGAAUAAAUUCGAGGUAUUGACUAAAAUAUAAAGAUAUAAAAAGUUUUGAAGUUAAAGUGUAAAUAUUCAAAAGUUAAGGGAUUAAAGUAAAUAUGAGAAAGUCAAAGGAUGAAAAAUGAACAUGAAAAAAAGUUUCUU